UAGGGAAUCUUCCGCAAUGGGCGAAAGCCUGACGGAGCAACGCCGCGUGAGUGAUGAAGGUCUUCGGAUCGUAAAACUCUGUUAUUAGGGAAGAACAAAUGUGUAAGUAACUAUGCACGUCUUGACGGUACCUAAUCAGAAAGCCACGGCUAACUACGUGCCAGCAGCCGCGGUAAUACGUAGGUGGCAAGCGUUAUCCGGAAUUAUUGGGCGUAACGCGCGCGUAGGCGGUUUUUUAAGUCUGAUGUGAAAGCCCACGGCUCAACCGUGGAGGGUCAUUGGAAACUGGAAAACUUGAGUGCAGAAGAGGAAAGUGGAAUUCCAUGUGUAGCGGUGAAAUGCGCAGAGAUAUGGAGGAACACCAGUGGCGAAGGCGACGUUCUGGUCUGUAACUGACGCUGAUGUGCGAAAGCGUGGGGAUCAAACAGG
rnacentral:rRNA from 1 species